rnacentral:lncRNA from 1 species
CGGAAACUCGUUGGUUCACACGGGCCCAAAGGAAGGACCAUCCCUCCAAGCCAGGGACCUGGGAAAGCCAGGCUACCUGCCACUGGAAUCAGAGAAGCAGACAUGGCGGCCUCCCACAAAGCUCCUCUCUUACCGGGUUACCAUGGCAACCAACAGAGUAGCUUUUGGGAGUGGAAUAAGGGAGCUGAGUCUUUCUGGAGAACGCAAGGACAGGUAUCCAGUGACCUGCAGGGAGACACACAGCGGUGGGCGCUCUAAAGACUCCCGUGAAUACAUUUCACCCAGGAAGCCCAGAUCUAUGACCUCUGUGACCAGCGGGUGAGAGUGGAGCUAGCAAAGGUCUCGCUUAGGUGGGCAGGCAGGGGAGUCUAAGGGAGGAAGCUGUGCAGGGUGAGGUCGUCCCCAUCCCGGUCCCCACUGGGCUCUGUCUUCAGGUCCUGGACCUUGGGCAGGCCCCCAUUGGCUGUGACAGGGGCCCCGUCUCCCCCCUCAGGUAGCAGGGACGAGAUGCAGAUCAUCUCCGUGGGGGAGUAGUUCCGCACUGGGUACAUGUGGGUCUUACGGGACAGACGGACCGCCAGCACCACUGUGCACACGAGGAAGAUGGUGGCCAGAGAAGCCAAGAUGAGGAUAAUCAGCAGACAUUGCUUCACCGGGAUGAGAUCUGAACUCCCUGGCAGGGUUGGGGCAGGUGAAUUCCCAGGGGUCACAAUCAGCCCUUUCUUCAGGCCGCUGUCAGGUGUUAGCCGUUGCUGGACUGGAUGGG